rnacentral:misc_RNA from 1 species
AGACGAGAGAAGCUAAGAACCGCCAGCAUGACCACACUGAGACCCUUCCGUUGUGAGGAUAUGUUCCACUUCAACAAUGUCAACCUGGACCCACUCACAGAGACUUAUGGCCUCUCCUUCUACCUGCAGUACCUUGCUCACUGGCCAGAAUAUUUCCAGGUGGCAGAGUCUUCUAGUGGCGUCAUCAUGGGAUACAUCAUGGGGAAGGCUGAGGGUCACGGAGACAACUGGCAUGGCCACGUAACAGCACUCACCGUGGCGCCGGAGUACAGACGUCUGGGCCUGGCAAAGCAGCUCAUGGCCAUUCUGGAGGACAUCUCAGAAAAGAAACGGUGUUACUUUGUUGACCUGUUUGUGCGUGUGAGUAACCUUGUUGCCAUCACCAUGUACAAGAAGCUUGGGUACAUAGUUUACCGCACUGUUCUGCAGUAUUACUCGGGCGACCCGGAUGAAGACGCCUAUGGGUUAUUGCAGGACUUGAAAGCAGAGAUGGAUGGGUAGGCACAGUAUACCCUUUAAGCGCCAACGUUCCCAUUUUGGGAACAUGGGACUAAAUAUUCACCAAAAAAAAGACAUGAGGAAAGCAUUGUCUCGGGAUGCCCAGCAGAAGUCUGUCAUCCCACUCACACACCCGGUACGUCCUGAGGAUAUAGAGUAGUAGCCUUAGGUAUGGUGUUGCUUUGAUGCUUUAAAUGGGACUGCA